rnacentral:rRNA from 1 species
UAAUGUAUGGGGAUCUGCCCGAUAGAGGGGGAUAACUACUGGAAACGGUGGCCAAUACCGCAUAAUGUCUACGGACCAAAGCAGGGGCGCUUCGGACCUUGCACUAUCGGAUGAACCCAUAUGGGAUUAGCUAGUAGGUGGGGUAAAGGCUCACCUAGGCGACGAUCUCUAGCUGGUCUGAGAGGAUGAUCAGCCACACUGGGACUGAGACACGGCCCAG